GGGGGAAUCCGACUGUUUAAUUAAAACAAAGCAUUGCGAAACUUUUAACUAGAUUUUUACGUAAUGUGAUUUCUGCUCAGUGCUCUGAAUGUCAAAGUGAAGUAAUUCAACCAAGCGCGGGUAAACAGCGGGAGUAACUAUGACUCUCUUAAGGUAGCCAAAUGCCUCGUCAUCUAAUUAGUGACGCGCAUGAAUGGAUUAACGAGAUUCCCACUGUCCCUACUUGCUAUCUAGCGAACCAACAGCCAAGGGAACGGGCUUGGCAAUGUCAGCGGGGAAAGAAGACCCUAUUGAGCUUGACUCUAGUCUAAAAUUGUGAAAUAUUUUUAUGGGUGUAGAAUAGGUGGGAGUUUGUAAAAACAAUCUUGAAAUACCACUACCGUAAAUAAUAUUUUACUUAUCUAAUUAUUAUAUAACAUUAUUAGAAAUAAUAAUGUAUUUUUGUAUUACGAAACUAAUUUCUUUUGUUUUUAAUAGUAUAGGUUAGAAAAAUUUUAGUUGGUAGUUUGGCUGGGGUCGGCACAUCUGUUAAAU
rnacentral:rRNA from 1 species